AACGCGAAGAACCUUACCUGGGCUUGACAUGUGAGCGACAGGUGUGGAAACACACCCUCCCUUCGGGGCGCUUUCACAGGUGGUGCAUGGCUGUCGUCAGCUCGUGUCGUGAGAUGUUGGGUUAAGUCCCGCAACGAGCGCAACCCUUGUCCUGUGUUGCCACUCCGUAAGGAAGCACUCUCAGGAGACCGCCAGCGAUAAGUUGGAGGAAGGUGGGGAUGAUGUCAAGUCAUCAUGGCCUUUAUGUCCAGGGCUACACACGUGCUACAAUGGUCGGUACAAAGCGCUGCAAACCCGCGAGGGGGAGCUAAUCGCAAAAAGCCGGCCUCAGUUCGGAUUGCAGGCUGCAACUCGCCUGCAUGAAGCUGGAAUCGCUAGUAAUGCCGUAUCAGAACGAUGGCGUGAAUACGUUCCCGGGCCUUGUACACACCGCUACAGU
rnacentral:rRNA from 1 species